GCGCACACACACACACACACACACACAGGAAAGCUGAAGAUGUAAGAGCUGUGCGUGAAGUCCGUUCACCUGAUUAAUGUUUGCAGUAGUGGCAGAACUGACUUGCGGUGAGUGAAGUUGCAGCAUGACUACAACACCAGUGCAAAUUAACUGUGCUAAAAGAAGGAUGAAGAACACACAUGAACUGAGAGUUUGAGGACAGGGCUGCCGAACAGCUCUCUGAAGGGGUGAGUCUUCAGUUUGAGUCUGAAGAUGGCUGAAGAGUCUUUGCUCCACCACUAGGGGGCGCCAGUACAGACAGGAUUCCGAACAGGAUUACGGUUCUAAUUCUACCUGCAGGGAAGUGGCAUGUGGAGCUAAAAGUCACAGAAUCAGAGGGUCGAGUCACCUGGCGGCCCCUGUUUGUUUAGCAGACCUUCAAUCUAAUCCAGGGGUUGUUCUGGAAUGGGCGGGGCUUCCAGACUUGCCUGCUCCUUUCAUCCAGUGACAGCAGAGUGAGAUCUUGCGAGCCCCAACGUGGGUGGAGCUAGCAUGCCUUUCCUUAUGACUUCCUGGACUGAACACCCAAUCACAAUUACAUUCUCCUCUGAUGUCAUAACGGUUUCUAUUAGUGGAGGUUUUGGAGAGAGGAACUUGUCCCCCACCCUCAUUAAAUCAUGUAUUUGUGACAUGUUCUAAUGUAUUUCUGGUUACAUGUACGUAUCUCGGUCAUUCUGUUUGUGUAUGUAUUUUUGCAUGACCCCUAAUAGUUGUGUCUGCUUUGUACUGUAUUGUAUUUUAUUUUCAUGCGCUGUUUCUCCUUAUAAUAUUUUUUAACUGAGCUGCCCUCAUGGCCAGGUCUCCCUUGUAAAAGAGAUUCUGUCUCUUCUGGUCAAAUAAAGGUUAAAUAAAAAAUA